CAGGCUUAACACAUGCAAGUCGAGGGGCAGCAUGGUCUUAGCUUGCUAAGGCCGAUGGCGACCGGCGCACGGGUGAGUAACACGUAUCCAACCUGCCGUCUACUCUUGGACAGCCUUCUGAAAGGAAGAUUAAUACAAGAUGGCAUCAUGAGUCCGCAUGUUCACAUGAUUAAAGGUAUUCCGGUAGACGAUGGGGAUGCGUUCCAUUAGAUAGUAGGCGGGGUAACGGCCCACCUAGUCUUCGAUGGAUAGGGGUUCUGAGAGGAAGGUCCCCCACAUUGGAACUGAGACACGGUCCAAACUCCUACGGGAGGCAGCAGUGAGGAAUAUUGGUCAAUGGGCGAGAGCCUGAACCAGCCAAGUAGCGUGAAGGAUGACUGCCCUAUGGGUUGUAAACUUCUUUUAUAAAGGAAUAAAGUCGGGUAUGGAUACCCGUUUGCAUGUACUUUAUGAAUAAGGAUCGGCUAACUCCGUGCCAGCAGCCGCGGUAAUACGGAGGAUCCGAGCGUUAUCCGGAUUUAUUGGGUUUAAAGGGAGCGUAGAUGGAUGUUUAAGUCAGUUGUGAAAGUUUGCGGCUCAACCGUAAAAUUGCAGUUGAUACUGGAUAUCUUGAGUGCAGUUGAGGCAGGCGGAAUUCGUGGUGUAGCGGUGAAAUGCUUAGAUAUCACGAAGAACUCCGAUUGCGAAGGCAGCCUGCUAAGCUGCAACUGACAUUGAGGCUCGAAAGUGUGGGUAUCAAACAGGAUUAGAUACCCUGGUAGUCCACACGGUAAACGAUGAAUACUCGCUGUUUGCGAUAUACUGCAAGCGGCCAAGCGAAAGCGUUAAGUAUUCCACCUGGGGAGUACGCCGGCAACGGUGAAACUCAAAGGAAUUGACGGGGGCCCGCACAAGCGGAGGAACAUGUGGUUUAAUUCGAUGAUACGCGAGGAACCUUACCCGGGCUUAAAUUGCAGAUGAAUUACGGUGAAAGCCGUAAGCCGCAAGGCAUCUGUGAAGGUGCUGCAUGGUUGUCGUCAGCUCGUGCCGUGAGGUGUCGGCUUAAGUGCCAUAACGAGUGCAACCCUUGUUGUCAGUUACUAACAGGUUCCGCUGAGGACUCUGACAAGACCGCCAUCGUAAGAUGUGAGGAAGGUGGGGAUGACGUCAAAUCAGCACGGCCCUUACGUCCGGGGCUACACACGUGUUACAAUGGGGGGUACAGAGGGCCGCUACCACGCGAGUGGAUGCCAAUCCCCAAAACCUCUCUCAGUUCGGACUGGAGUCUGCAACCCGACUCCACGAAGCUGGAUUCGCUAGUAAUCGCGCAUCAGCCACGGCGCGGUGAAUACGUUCCCGGGCCUUGUACACACCGCCCGUCAAGCCAUGGGAGCCGGGGGUACCUGAAGUGCGUAACCGCGAGGAGCGCCCUAGGGUAAAACUGGUGACUGGGGCUAAGU
rnacentral:rRNA from 1 species